rnacentral:rRNA from 1 species
UACGUAGGGUGCGAGCGUUGUCCGGAAUUAUUGGGCGUAAAGAGCUCGUAGGCGGUCUGUCACGUCGGAUGUGAAAGCCCGGGGCUUAACCCCGGGUCUGCAUUCGAUACGGGCAGACUAGAGUUCGGUAGGGGAGAUCGGAAUUCCUGGUGUAGCGGUGAAAUGCGCAGAUAUCAGGAGGAACACCGGUGGCGAGGGCGGAUCUCUGGGCCGAUACUGACGCUGAGGAGCGAAAGCGUGGGGAGCGAACAGG